AUUGAACGCUGGCGGCAGGCCUAACACAUGCAAGUCGAGCGAGCGGCGGACGGGUGAGUAAUGUAUGGGAAACUGCCCGAUAGAGGGGGAUAACUACUGGAAACGGUGGCUAAUACCGCAUACCAUCAGAUGAGCCCCUAUGGGAUUGGCUAGUUGGUGGGGUAACGGCUCACCUAGGCAACGAUGCAUAGCUGGCCUGAGAGGGUGAACAGCCACACUGGGACUGAGACACGGCCCAGACUCCUACGGGAGGCAGCAGUGGGGAAUAUUGCGCAAUGGGCGAAAGUCUGACGGAGCAAUGCCGCGUGUGUGAAGAAGGUUUUAGGGUCGUAAAACUCUUUUGGUAGAGAAGCGGUAUCUAACCAUGAAGCAACGGCUAACUACGUGCCAGCAGCCGCGGUAAUUC
rnacentral:rRNA from 1 species